GGGCCCGCACAAGCAGUGGAGUAUGUGGUUUAAUUCGAAGCAACGCGAAGAACCUUACCAGGUCUUGACAUCCUUGGAAUCCUUAAGAGAUUAGGGAGUGCCUUCGGGAGCCAAGAGACAGGUGGUGCAUGGUUGUCGUCAGCUCGUGUCGUGAGAUGUUGGGUUAAGUCCCGCAACGAGCGCAACCCUUAUUGUUAGUUGCCAUCAUUAAGUUGGGCACUCUAGCGAGACUGCCGUUGAUAAAACGGAGGAAGGUGGGGACGACGUCAAAUCAUCAUGCCCCUUAUGACCUGGGCUACACACGUACUACAAUGGCCGUUAACAAAGCGAAGCAAGACCGCGAGGUGGAGCAAAUCGCAAAAACGGUCCCAGUUCAGAUUGUAGGCUGAAACUCGCCUAUAUGAAGUUGGAAUUGCUAGUAAUCGCGAAUCAGCAUGUCG
rnacentral:rRNA from 1 species